GCGCCCGUAGCUCAGCGGAUAGAGCACCAGGCUUCGGACCUGGGGGUCGGGGGUUCGAGUCCCUCCGGGCGUACCA
rnacentral:tRNA from 1 species